AAUCAAAGCAAGUGCUUUGGAUUUGUGAGUUUCGACAACCCCACCAGUGCCCAGGCCGCCAUUCAGGCGAUGAAUGGAUUCCAGAUCGGAAUGAAACGACUUAAGGUACAACUGAAGCGUCCAAAGAUGCAAACAGGCCUUAUUAAACACUGCACUGAUAAAGGAUCUAUAAGGCGAAAUGGUAGAAACGCGUUAUGGACGGACCAGCACAGCGGGCUGCCUGUGGACAGCAGCUGCUGGAUUAGUGAUCAUCGAUAUUGAGAGGGAGAGAGAGAGUGUGUGUAUACAACGAGGCCGCCCUCGCCUUAUAUUGGGGAUGUUGCAGUUAUUUUUGUCGUGCAGAAAACGUCGUCACGAAAAGAGGAGGCGCAAAUUGGAAGCAGAUAUCUCACAGUUGCGUUGACGGGAAUACUUUAUGAUAAAGAAUGUUACUUGGUUUAUCCUUAUGCGUGCGUUUUCGCCGCUUCGCGCAAUCUGAACCAAGUACCACGUGUAUUCACUGGUUUUCACUUGUAUAUAAAGUAUGUUUUAUACAGGGAACACCGUUAAUUCUACUCACGUCAGUGGUGACUGUCUGAGACUAGCGUCGGACUAUUUACACGAAAGAUGUUUGAAAUUUUUUCGUCUGCUCAUUCUUCCCCCAAACAAAACUCUAGCUUGUCAGCCGUUACGAUGCCGUGCCCCUUCAUUUCAUUGCUGCUAACAUUUCCCAAAAUAGAGUCUCUAUAACCGAUUUAUAUACAAAUGAGACCCAACUUCAUUGCUAAACUCUCCAAAUAUUCCUAUAAGCUUUCGCGGAAGAUGAAGCACAUUUACACACGUAACAGCUAUAGAACGCAUAACGAGAUGAGGCGUAUUCUUAUUUAAACGCCCCUUUAUAGAAUGUAUAUUAUAUUCUAUAUGUACACAUAGAAUAAAGUAUACUUUUAGCGUGACAAAUGAUCGUCUGUAUAUAACACUCGAAAGGCCAAUAUUUUACUUAAAACGUAAGUAUUUCUACUUAAUAUAUUCUGUAUAAGUACGAUACUUAAAACAAUCUGAUGACUAAAGAGGCCCUCAUAAUUUUGACUAAAGAGUCUCUAGUCCUAUUUUGGAAGAAAUAUAUUUUUCUUUUCCUGUGUGAGUUCGUCCGUGGUGGGUUGGAAGGAGUAUUCACAGUUCAGUGCAGAGUGUGAUUGGGAGAAAUGGCCGAGAAGCCAAACAGCCAGGCGAAUAAGCGUAUCACACCUGCAUCGUUGUUUGUCAUCGUCCAGUUCAAUGUACGGUUUGGUGGGUUUCAGUUCCCAAGCGUUUUGGUGUAAUGAGUUCAUUUCACGUUCGUCAUCGGUGUUGUUCGUGCAGCGUGCCGUCCUUUUUGAUGACGUCGCUAGUACAUGUGCUGUCAUAGGUGACUGUUGUGCACGGAUACUGUGGAUAGUAUACUUGACCGUGAAUGAACUAUGAAUAGUCUUGCCAAUCGCUACGUGUUUGUUAAAGAUUCUGUCAGUUUUCAGCGAAACCCGUGAAGUCCAAAGUUUGUAGUAGUGUACGACGUCGCUUCGAGCGCGCGGCUCAACUCACAUGAUAGGUCCAUGACGCUUAUUAUUAGGUUGUUUAAACCAAAUGAUAUAAUCGAAAUAGUUGACCUGUAAAUUUUUCCCGUGUAUAUCUAAAAUAGUUGUUGAAGAAUCCCACCUCGAUGAAGUUACCUUUCCGUAAAGGGCAGCUACACAUGUUUUGACGCCAUUCGUUAUAGGGCUAGUAAAUCAGUACCGUCAACGAAGAGGUGUUAUUGCGAUUUUCGAUUUCUAUGUAGAGAAGUCAAGUCGGUCGCGUCGACAUGGCAGCUGGUUAGAUUGUAAUACCGUAGAUUCGCUUAUAGGUGAUUUAACCGAGUAAUUGCAAACGCUACGCGACAUUUGCUUGCGUGCUUGUCUCUGGAUCAGCCAGCACAAUGGCCUCCUGAUAUGAACGCAUUACGUUACGGCCGUUCCUGCGUCCCCCGUGCUCUUGGUGUUCCAUUAAAAUGUUAAAUUAUUGCAUAGUUUAACCGAGGGCAUUCUCUGCUGGAUCUCAAAACGUCGAUUUUGAGAUCUGUCGUGACCACAAUUUGCGGGACGACGGUUGUGAGACGUCACAGUCACGUGGUUCGGACGCGAUCACGUGUCAUGCUGACAUUGUAUCUUGGCUAAUUUGGCGGCGUGAUCCGCGGUAUGUAUGGGAGGAAACGUGUUGUUUAUUAGUUUCCAGCUAUAACUCUAGUUAAGUUUUCGAAGUAGUUUGUAGACACUUAGGUAGCGUUAGGCCUACAUCGCGUAUAAUUAAUACAAGAUUCACUUUAGAAUUUGUAAUGUCGUUUUAAUAUGCCGAUUUCCACCGUAUAUAUUGCGUUGUAAGUGACGAAAUAGUCUAAGUGCCAUACUCGUGGCGAUUGUUAUGCUUAUACAGACUUUUCCAAGCGUGUUAUCGCGUGGCGUGCGUGGUAGCGUGACAACGCCUGACGCUGUGAGAUGACAAACCAAUCAUAUGACGCGUGCGUCGUUGCUGCAUGUGUGCAGACGACAGCGUGGUGGAGCUACACGCUCGCAACAAGGGGGUUGAACAAUCGUUAAAACUACAUUGUGGCAUGAUCGUAAGCUUAGGAGAUAUAUGAUUAUUGAUUAACAGGAUUUUUUUCGUUUAUUUAUUAUCGACUUAUAUUUAUUGGACUUUUGCAAGUCAAAUAUUUAUUGGUCAGCAAUUUUAGGUUAGCAUACAUAGAGUAGUUGUAGGUGCGUUAAGAUGGUAACCAUCACAUAAAUCAACCGGGUGAAGUGGAAGUUUCGGAUCUAGUCACAAGCUAUGAGUUAUGACAUUAAUUUUAAUUUCUGUAUCGUUGAGUUACUGUACGUCGUUUUACAGUCUUGGUGUUCAGUUGUUAUCUAAAGACUUGUCUUGGUGUAAUUUGUUGGCAUGUGGUACACUACGCGUGUUCGCAAACAAUUUGUAUCCAGAAAUGCCAAAGAUGAAAUGAGUAUGUGACAAAGAUUGAGGACACCUCUAUUUUCAUAUAUUUAUUUAUUAUUAAUAAUAUUGAAACCUACGGAUAUUAAUUUCUUAUCAGUAUUUUAUUCGAAUAUUAUUUGUCAUGCGCAUGACUGCAGGGAACCAUGUAACCCAUUUCGCGUUUCUCUGCAGUUGGGAAGCUAGCAAAAUUACGUAAUAUAGCGAGUAGUGUAAGGCACAUUAUAUUAUCUCAUAUUAAACAAAGUAUAUAACUUAUAUAGCUCAAUGCCAACUUGAUAACAAUUAUAAUUCGUUAAUACGAAGCAGUAUUUCUAGGCAGAACAUGCGUGAGUAGCGAACGUGAUUGCUUACAAAUGUGCUGCUGCGUUUUACUUUCAUAUUUCGUUGGUCACGGUUCGUUGCCUUGGAAUGUGCUUUGUACAAAAAAAUAGCAAAAAAAUACGAAAAAGUAUAUCAUUUAUUCUUGCCAAAUAUACUAUUAGAUAGGGUGACAUUAUAGUUUUUUAGGAGAUGCUUCGUGAUUUAUUGUGUACCUGAGCUCUAGGCCGACGUUGAUGAGCUGUUUAUCAAUAUUUAUCAUUGUUUUGUUUGUUCGACCUCAUGAAUUUGUUCGGAUCGACGUUGAUUUGAUGCUGAAAUCGAUAACGAAUCUACAUUCCGCAUAAAUUUUAUUGUUGAAGAAAAUCAUUUCGUAACUAAAUCAUUCCUUGUAAAGGUGACUGUACUUUUUUGUUUUUAAAAAUCAGUGUUAUCCAUGUCGCACGAGCGAGCAUGCGCAUGCGCGGGUUUCGCUAUAUGGCGCGGGUUGUGCGCAUUGGUUCAUAUCAUAAGUACGAGGCGUCUUUUACCUGUGGCGGCAUUCGUCUCGGGUUUUUACUAAACCGUAUGUACAAAGUUACUAUUUUAGAGCUUAGAGAUGCAUUUAUGGGACACGAUGCCGUUAGGAGAACUGCUUGGUUUUUUGCCUAGAGCCGGAGUCUGCACUGCGCCACUGCCACCUAUCGGUCAAAUGAGUAUAUAGCAGCGGGCGCUGCUACACUACAUAUCAGAAUAUCAGGGCUUUCAAAUUUCAAUUUUAUUUUACUUACCUGUACAAAAUACUUGGACUCAAUGUUCUUUGUAUAUUUGGUGGCUCUGAAUGUCGUGGCAUGAUAGAUCAGGUUGUUUUAACGUGUCUAUAAGCCCGUGUGCCCGCUUGCGCUGGACAUCCCACAGUUCAUAAUAUAGUUUGAUCAACACGUCACACUGAGGGGACGGCGUUAAGCCAUCUAAACACGAGUAUGAAUUUUUCUGAGUGACGUCAUUAGUGUAGUCGAUGGUGGUUGUGGUUUGUGGCUGUGGCUGUUGGCUUGCCCGUCUUGAACAACUUUUGAGGCCAAAUCGGUGUUAAGAUUGUAAAUAUUGGUGUAUACAGAUUAUUGGAAGUCUUUAUUAUUACUGUUCGUGCUUUAUCAUUCCCUAGAGCUUAAUAUUGAGUUUUCGAUGUCACUUAUAUGAUGCUAUCGUGGCAAUGUUUUUGGUUGUUGUGCAAUACGAUGCGAUGAACGUUCCACGUGUGGGUGACCCAGAGGAAACCCGUUUCUGCUGACGGUGACACAUUCCGCGCAUUACCUUCUCCUCCUCCCACCCACCCAUCAGCCGUAUGUCAGCAAUUCGUGCUGGAGUUUUAAUGGAGGAGGAGCUCUGCGGUUCCGUGUUUCCCUAUUUUCGAAUUCAUUUUAUUUCAUUGUCAAAAAUGCAAAUUGUUUUCCGUGACCGCUCUCUCUCUCUCUCUCUCUCUCUCUCUCUCUCUCUCUCUCUCCCCCUUCUUUCCUCUCGUUCUUCUCCACAUCUUCGAGCUCUCCCCUUCUCUCUUUCUUCAUUCCCCUGUUCUCUCUCUCUCUCUCUCUCUCUCUCUCUCUCUCUCUCUCUCUCUCCCGCUCCCAUUCCUCUCUCAUCGUUUUUCUUCUCCGCCGCUCCUCUGAUUACUAGCAUAAUCUCUGGUCGUUCCAUGAUGUUUCGUCCAUUGCCGUUGUUCUUGCACUGUUUAACAGUUUGUUCCGGUAUAAAGGUAUUUUUAGUUUAGUGGCGGUGGCGACUGUGCAGACUCCUACUGGUAUUUCGCUGUUCAUCUAUUCCUGUUAUAGUUUUAUGCCAUGUAUAAAUCAUGGAUAUUUAUAUAGUAGAAAUCUUUCAUAGAACAUAUAUUAUCUUUCAUAUAACAUGACAUAGUUGCUUAUAUAUUUAAAACAGAUUUAUAAGCUAACUACUUAAGAUACAGACCAACUGCAAGUUGAAAAUAAAAUAAAGUUCGAAAAGCA